rnacentral:lncRNA from 1 species
AGGAAAUGGAUACAAACAUGGGAUGGACCUUGGUCAUCGACGUGCUCCAGAUGUCUCAGUUGCAAACGCCUGGACAAUGAGGAUGUUAGCUGAGAAGAGGGAGUCCUGAAAUGCCAGUUAACCCAGCAGAAGUUGAUAAGCUCACUCACAGCCAGGGACAUGGUUUCCCAGGUAUACAGUUCUAUUGUAAAGGAGGCGAUGGGUUUCUUCUCCUCUGCCGACCCACUGAAUUUUAUAAGAAAAGCCAGUGGGCUCCCAGACAAAGUUAAAAAG